AUGAGUCGUGGUUAGGGGUGAACUGCCACUCGAAACCAGAGCUAGCUGGUUCUCCCCAAAAUGCAUUGAGGCGCAGCAGUUGACUGGACCAUCUAGGGGUAAAGCACUAUUUCGGUACGGGCCGCGAGAAUGGUACCAAAUCGAGGCAAACUCUGAAUACUAGAUUGCCCCAAUAAAAGGGGUAAAGGUCAUCCAGUGAGACGAUGGGGGAUAAGAUUCAUCGUCGAGAGGGAAACAACCCAGAUCAUCAGCUAUUCCCCUAAAUGACCGCUCAGUGAUGAAGGAAGUACAAGUGCAAAGACAGCCAGGAGGGUUGCCUAGAAGAAGCCAACCUUGAAAGAGUGCGUAAUAGCUCACUGAUCGAGCACUCUUGCACUGAAGAUGAAUGGGACUAAGCGAUCUGCCGAAGCUGUGGGAUGUAAAAAUACAUCGGUAGGGGAGCGUUCCGCCUCAGAGGGAAGCACCGACGCGAGCAGGUGUGGAUGAAGCAGAAGUGAGAAUGUCGGCUUGAGUAAUGCAAACAUUGGUGAGAAUCCAAUGCCCCAAAAACCUAAGGGUUCCUCUGCAAGGUUCGUCCAUGGAGGGUGAGUCAGGGCCUAAGAUCAGGCCGAAAGGCGUAGUCGAUGGACAACAGGUUAAUAUUCCUGUACUACCCCUUGUUGGUCCCGACGGACGGAGGAGGCUAGGUUAGCCAAAAGAUGGUUAUCGGUUCAAGGACACAAGGUGACCCUACUUUUUUCAGGGUAAGAAGGGGUAGAGAAAAUGCCUCGAGCCAAUGUCCGAGUACCAAGCACUACAGUGCUGAAGUAACCCAUGCCAUACUCCCAGGAAAAUCUCAAACGACCUAUAACAAAUGGGUACCUGUACAUGAAACUGACACAGGUAGGUAGGUAGAGAAUACCUAGGGGCAUGAGACAACUCUCUAUAAGGAACUCGGAAAAAUAGCCCCGUAACUUCGGGAGAAGGGGUGCCUCCUCAGGAGGUCACAGUGACCAGGCCCGGGCGACUGUUUACCAAAAACACAAGUCUCCGCAAAGUCGUAAGACCAUGUAUGGGGGCUGACGCCUGCCUAGUGGCGGAAGGUUAAGGAAGUUGGUGACCUGAUGAUGGGGAAGCUAGCGACCGAAGCCCCGGUGAACGACGACCGUAACUAUAACGGUCCUAAGGUAGAGAAAUUCCUUGUCGGGUAAGUUCCGACCCGCACGAAAGGCGUAAUGAUCUGGGCACUGUCUCGGAGAGAGACUCAGUGAAAUAGACAUGUCUGUGAAGAUGCAGACUACCUGCACCUAGAAAAAAAGACCCUAUGAAGCUUUACUAUUCCCUGGGAUUGUCUUUGGGUUCUUCUUGCGCAGCUUAGGUGGAAGGCGAAGAAGACUCCCUCUUGGGGGGGCCUGAGCCACCAGUGAGAUACCACUCUGGAAGAGAUAGAAUUCUAACCUUGUUUCAGGACCCAUGGGCCAAGCGACAGUCUCAGGUAGACAUUUUCUAUGGGGCGUAGGCCUCCCAAAAGGUAACGGAGGAGUGCAAAGGUUUCCUCUGGCCGAACGGAAAUCAACCCUCGAGUGCAAAGGUAGAAGGGAUCUUGACUGCAAGACCCACCCAUCGAGCAGGGAUGAAAGUCGGCCUUAGUGAUCCGAUGGUGCCGAGUGGAAGGGCCAUCUCUCAAUGAAUAAAAGUUACUCUAGGGAUAAUAGGCUGAUCUUCCCCAAGAGUUCACAUCGACGAGAAGGUUUGGCACCUCGAUGUUGGCUCUUCACCACCUGGGGCGGUAGUACGUUCCAAGGGUUGGGUUGUUCACCCAUUAAAGUGGUACGUGAACUAGGUUCAGAAUGUCGUGAGACAGUUUGGUCCAUAUCCGGUGCGGGCAUUAGAGCAUUGAGAGGAAUUUUCCCUAGUACGAGAGGACCAGGAAGGACGCACCUCUGGUGUACUAGUUAUCAUGCCCACGGUAGACGUUGGGUAGCCAAGUGUAGAGUGGAUAACUACUGAAAG
rnacentral:ncRNA from 1 species